AACUUAGCAAACGCCGCCUUCUUCACCUCCACUUUUCCUUCGACUACAUCGUUUCACCACCAAUCACCCUGAUGUCUGCCUGAAUAGACCUUGUCUACCCCGAGCACAUCCCGUGCUACCUCCCUAACCAAGUUCGACGUCUAUGACCACAUAGCGUCCGCUUCCCCAGAACUUCUCCAAGCUCCGCCCUCAGCUAACCU
rnacentral:lncRNA from 1 species